CCACCCCAAGCCGUAGGCUUGUCGUUGGGCGCCGCCCGCCAGGGCGCGCCUGGAAACCGUCGGCGCCUUCGAGGGCCUCCGAGCGCACAGAGCCCAGCCGCCCGCGCCCGGAGGCCUGCCGCAGGCCGCCUGCCCUUCACCUCCAAA
rnacentral:misc_RNA from 1 species